rnacentral:misc_RNA from 1 species
UGGUUCUGGCAUCGAUGAAGAACGCAGCGAAAUGCGAUAAGUAAUGUGAAUUGCAGAAUUUAGUGAAUCAUCGAAUCUUUGAACGCACAUUGCGCCCUUUGGUAUUCCGAAGGGCACAUCUGUUCGAGCGUCAUUACACCUAAUCAAGUUUAUCUUGGUAAUUGAAUGGACAUACUUGUCUUGAAAUACAGACACAUUCAAAAGAUAUCUAGCAGUACCUAAUAGGUCUCAAGCGUAACAAAUUGAAAUCGUUUGUCAGACUCCAUUUGGAACUUGCAUUUCUACAUAUAUUUUAAAGGUUGACCUCGAAUCAGAUGGGGAUACCCGCUGA